rnacentral:rRNA from 1 species
CGGCUCGAGCAGGUGCGAAAGCAGGUCAUAGUGAUCCGGUGGUUCUGAAUGGAAGGGCCAUCGCUCAACGGAUAAAAGGUACUCCGGGGAUAACAGGCUGAUACCGCCCAAGAGUUCAUAUCGACGGCGGUGUUUGGCACCUCGAUGUCGGCUCAUCACAUCCUGGGGCUGAAGUAGGUCCCAAGGGUACGGCUGUUCGCCGUUUAAAGUGGUACGCGAGCUGGGUUUAGAACGUCGUGAGACAGUUCGGUCCCUAUCUGCCGUGGGCGCUGGAGAAUUGAGGGGGGUUGCUCCUAGUACGAGAGGACCGGAGUGAACGCACCACUGGUGUUCGGGUUGUCAUGCCAAUGGCAUUGCCCGGUAGCUAAGUGCGGAAAAGAUAAGUGCUGAAAGCAUCUAAGCACGAAACUUGCCCCGAGAUGAGUUCUCCCUGACUCCUUGAGAGUCCUGAAGGGACGUUGAAGACUACGACGUUGAUAGGCCGGGUGUGUAAGCGCAGCGAUGCGUUGAGCUAACCGGUACUAAUGACCCGUGAGGCUUAACCUUACAACGCCAGAGGCGUUU